UACGUAGGGUGCAAGCGUUAAUCGGAAUUACUGGGCGUAAAGCGUGCGCAGGCGGUGAUGUAAGACAGUCGUGAAAUCCCCGGGCUCAACCUGGGAAUUGCGAUUGUGACUGCAUCGCUGGAGUGCGGCAGAGGGGGAUGGAAUUCCGCGUGUAGCAGUGAAAUGCGUAGAUAUGCGGAGGAACACCGAUGGCGAAGGCAAUCCCCUGGGCCUGCACUGACGCUCAUGCACGAAAGCGUGGGGAGCAAACAGG
rnacentral:rRNA from 1 species